AAUAGAUACCCCGGUAGUCCACGCCCUAAACUAUGUCAACUAGUUGUCGGGGAGGAAAUUCCUUGGUAACGCAGCUAACGCGUGAAGUUGACCGCCUGGGGAGUACGGCCGCAAGGUUAAAACUCAAAGGAAUUGACGGGGACCCGCACAAGCGGUGGAUUAUGUGGAUUAAUUCGAUGCAACGCGAAAACCUUACCUACCCUUGACAUGUACGGAAUUCCGCAGAGAUGUGGAAGUGCCCGAAAGGGAACCGUAACACAGGUGCUGCAUGGCUGUCGUCAGCUCGUGUCGUGAGAUGUUGGGUUAAGUCCCGCAACGAGCGCAACCCUUGCCAUUAGUUGCUACAUUCAGUUGGGCACUCUAAUGGGACCGCCGGUGACAAACCGGAGGAAGGUGGGGAUGACGGUCAAGUCCUCAUGGCCCUUAUGGGUAGGGCUUCACACGUAAUACAAUGGUCGGUACAGAGGGCUGCCAACCCGCAAGGGGGAGCUAAUCCCGAGAAAGCCGAUCGUAGUCCGGAUUGUAGUCUGCAACUCGACUGCAUGAAGCCGG
rnacentral:rRNA from 1 species